GGCCUUGACAUACUAAGAACUUUCCAGAGAUGGAUUGGUGCCUUCGGGAACUUAGAUACAGGUGCUGCAUGGCUGUCGUCAGCUCGUGUCGUGAGAUGUUGGGUUAAGUCCGCAACGAGCGCAACCCUUUUCCUUAUUUGCCAGCGGGUAAUGCCGGGAACUUUAAGGAUACUGCCAGUGACAAACUGGAGGAAGGCGGGGACGACGUCAAGUCAUCAUGGCCCUUACGGCCAGGGCUACACACGUGCUACAAUGGUCGGUACAAAGGGUUGCUACCUCGCGAGAGGAUGCUAAUCUCAAAAAGCCGAUCGUAGUCCGGAUCGCAGUCUGCAACUCGACUGCGUGAAGUCGGAGUCGCUAGUAAUCGCGGAUCAGAAUGCCGCGGUGAAUACGUUCCCGGGCCUUGUACACACCGCCCGUCACACCAUGGGAGUUUGUUGCACCAGAAGUAGGUAGUCUAACCGCAAGGAGGACGCUUACCACGGUGUGGCCGAUGACUGGGGUGAAGUCGUAACAAGGUAAGCGUAGAUGA
rnacentral:rRNA from 1 species